GGAUGUUUGCAAAGCUGUCAGAUGAUCUAUUUUGAGUUGUCCCUAGGGGUGUAGGUUAUAGGAUUCAAGGUUCAGCUUUGUAUAAGUUUUCAUAACCUGCCUGAGGGAGUGAAAGCCAUACGUGUCAAAAGACCUGGGUAGAUAUGGCUGGUUUCCACGAACAGAAAGAUCUCACUGGACCAUAACUCCUUAUGUAGUUAAUCACUACAUGGUGGCCACAUUCUUUUCUCUGGUAGUGGACAUGACCUCCCUCCCUCACUCAAUCUAUCCAUCCAUCCUUCCUCCCUCCCCUUCCCUAUCCAAAAAUUCUACCUCUCCAUGCCUUCACUCUUUCUGUCAUUCCUCAUCCAUCUUUCUUGUCUCCUUCAAGCUUCUUCAUGUCUGUGCUCUCAGACUCCUCCCUAGUUUUCAUUUUACAAUGAUGAGCAAGAGACAAAAACUCUGAACAUUUGAAGCAAAAUAGGAUUUAUGGAAAAUAUAUUAGAUAAAGAAUCAGAAAUUAGAUAAAACAAAACAAAACUCCACUUAGAAGCAGGGCAUCAUAGCACAUUGUCCCACUAGAAAUCUUUGAAUGAAUAAAGCCCAUAUGUUUUUCUUCUCUGUCUAUGCAUCAUCUAAGCAUGAAUGACGUCCCAAGAAAACACAACCCGGUAGUCAACCCAGGCAGCAUGUGCCACAUGAGUAAAAAGAAACACCCAGGAGAAAGGCUUUUCAGGGAUUUCCCAGCUUCCAUGGUGAGAACACAGGUCAUUGGUCUAAAGGAAUGGGGGAAUGUUUAUGAAAAGAUGGGUGCCAAGGGGCCAGAAUGUUUUAAAAAUAAUUAUCUUGUUUAAAGACACAUUCCACGCCCCCCUAUGUUAUGUAAGAAGCCUGUAAGAUGGUUCCUUAAGCCAGUUCCUUCUGGUCUAGGUCUGUAACAAUGAUACACAUCUUUCCACUAGCAAUAUAUUGUAUAGCAUAGCAACUAGCAAUCUACAUUGCAUAUGUGUUAUCUCAUUGCAUAUUUAAAUAUACACUGUGCUAUAGGCUGAAUUGUGUUUUCCCUUUGAAAGCUGAUGUUAUUAAAUUUCUAACUCCCAAAGCCACCAUGUAACUCUAUUUGGAGUUGGUCUUUCAAAGCAGCUAUCAGUUUAAAAAUGGCUUCUAAUCCUUUUUGACUUGUGUUCUCUCAUGAAGUAGAAAUUAGGACAUACAUAUUAUCAUGGAUGUAAGUAGACUAAAGGACAUAAGAGGAGACAGAGAGAGGGGGGAUGGCCAUCUUGCAAGCCACAUAUAGAGGAUUUAGAGGAAACCAAACCUUCCAAUGCCCAAUUCUGGGUUUCUAGGCUCAAGAAUCUCCAGAAAAUUCAAAUUCUGUUGUUCAAGUAGCCCAUCUUACAGCGUUUGCUGUGGUAGCUGAGGGAACUUGUAAUAAUUACAUAAGAGAACCAAGAAUGGAAGAGACCGGGACAAGAAUUAAAGAAUCCAAGUCCCACAGCAAACAAGUAGCAGAGAAACCAGAUUCUUUGGUCUUAAGUCAGCUUUCUCUAAGCUUCCCCAUGCUAUUCUUUCCUUCCAUUGUUAACAUACUUCCUCUCCUUCAGUCCAUUCAGGUCUAAUAAAAUAAGAGAGUCCUUGAACGCAGAGACUGCUAUUGGCAGUCACCAGAAUAGCCAAUGUGGUCCUCACACUCAGGUGUGAGAUCUUUUCUCAUGAGUGCAGUACAAAUCCCUAAAUGAUUGCCACAUGCCACUGGUUUGUCAACAGGUAAUCUUACGUCAAC
rnacentral:lncRNA from 1 species